rnacentral:rRNA from 1 species
UACUGAUGGCGAGAAAGCGGCCCCCUGGACAAAUACUGACGCUCAUGUGCGAAAGCGUGGGGAGCAAACAGGAUUAGAUACCCUGGUAGUCCACGCUGUAAACGAUGUCGAUUUGGAGGUUGUAGUCAUGAACUGUGGCCUCCGAAGCUAACGCGUUAAAUCGA